rnacentral:rRNA from 1 species
GUCUACGGCCAUGCCACCUGACGUGCCACCUGACGUGCCCGAUCUCGUCUGAUCUUGGAAGCUAAGCAGGGUCGGGCCUUGUUAGUACUUGGAUAGGAGACCACCUAGGAAUACCAGGUGCUGUAGGCG